rnacentral:tRNA from 1 species
UCCCUUGUAGCUCAGUUGGUAAAGAAUCUGCCUGCAAUGCAGAAGACCCAGGUUCAAUCCCUGGGUUGGGAA